UAGUGAAUCUUCCGCAAUGGACGAAAGUCUGACGGAGCAACGCCGCGUGAGUGAAGAAGGAUUUCGGUUCGUAAAACUCUGUUGUUAGGGAAGAAAAAAUGUAUAGUAACUAUAUACAAAAGAGACGGUACCUAACCAGAAAGCCACGGCUAACUACGUGCCAGCAGCCGCGGUAAUACGUAGGUGGCAAGCGUUGUCCGGAAUUAUUGGGCGUAAAGCGCGCGCAGGUGGUUUAGAAAGUCUGAUGUGAAAGCCCACGGCUCAACCGUGGAGGGUCAUUGGAAACUAAUAAACUUGAGUGCAGGAGAGAAAAGUGGAAUUCCUAGUGUAGCGGUGAAAUGCGUAGAGAUUAGGAGGAACACCGGUGGCGAAAGCGGCUUUUUGGCCUGCAACUGACACUGAGGCGCGAAAGCGUGGGGAGCAAACAGG
rnacentral:rRNA from 1 species